rnacentral:rRNA from 1 species
UAGCGGAGCGUGUGGUUUAAUUCGACUAACACGAAGAACCUUACCAGGACUUGACAUGUACAGGCAAUCCGUGGAAACACGGCCCUCCCUAUGGGACCUGUACACAGGUGCUGCAUGGCUGUCGUCAGCUCGUGCCGUGAGGUGUUGGGUUAAGUCCCGCAACGAGCGCAACCCUCGUCGCCAGUUAUACGUGUCUGGCGAGACCGCCGGGAGAAACCCGGAGGAAGGUGGGGAUGAUGUCAAGUCAGCAUGGCCCUUACGCCCUGGGCUACACACACGCUACAAUGGCCGGUGCAGAGGGUUGCCAAACCGCGAGGUGGAGCCAAUCCCCAAAAACCGGUCCCAGUUCGGGUUGCAGGCUGCAACCCGCCUGCAUGAAGUCGGAGUUGCUAGUAACCGCAUAA